CUACGGGACGCUGCAGUGGGGAAUCUUAGACAAUGGGCGCAAGCCUGAUCUAGCCAUGCCGCGUGAGUGAUGAAGGCCUUAGGGUCGUAAAGCUUUUUCGCUGGGGAAGAUAAUGACGGUACCCAGUAAAGAAACCCCGGCUAACUCCGUGCCAGGCAGCCGCGGUAAUACGGAGGGGGUUAGCGUUGUUCGGAAUUACUGGGCGUAAAGCGCGCGUAGGCGGACUGUUAAGUCGGGGGUGAAAUCCCGGGGCUCAACCCCGGAACGGCCUUCGAUACUGGCAGUCUGGAGUUCGAGAGAGGUGAGUGGAAUUCCGAGUGUAGAGGUGAAAUUCGUAGAUAUUCGGAGGAACACCAGUGGCGAAGGCGGCUCACUGGCUCGAUACUGACGCUGAGGUGCGAAAGUGUGGGGAGCAAACAGGAUUAGAUACCCUCGUAGUC
rnacentral:rRNA from 1 species